rnacentral:rRNA from 1 species
AUACGGAGGAUCCGAGCGUUAUCCGGAUUUAUUGGGUUUAAAGGGUGCGCAGGCGGGAGAUUAAGUCGGCGGUGAAAUUUUGCAGCUCAACUGUAAAAGUGCCUUCGAAACUGGGUUUCUUGAGUGUAGAAGAAGGAGGCGGAAUUUGUGGUGUAGCGGUGAAAUGCAUAGAUAUCACGAGGAACUCCGAUUGCGCAGGCAGCUUACCAAACUACUACUGACGCUCAGGCACGAAGGCGUGGGGAUCAAACAGGAUUAGAUGCCCUGGUAGUCCACGCAGUAAACGAUGAUUACUAGCUGUUUGCGAUACAAUGUAAGCGGCUGAGCGAAAGCGUUAAGUAAUCCACCUGGGGAGUACGUUCGCAAGAAUGAAACUCAAAUGAAUUGACGGGG